UCUGUCAUCGGUCGUCGUCGUUGUCGGAGCCAAGCCAAACGAAGUGAGCGUAUAGCUGGGGUAGAACAGUAUAACGAGCAUCAUUCCAGUAACAGAGCUCGAAGUGUUAAAACGUAUUUUUACGUAGCUCCGGUAGAUACCAAAAAAAGCAAAAGAGAAAUAUUCUUUCAUUUCUCAGUUUGAGUGUUUGUGACAUAGGACCGCAUUGAAGCUACAAAUUAAACAAGUAAUCCGAGCAAAAGAAAGCACCGUUCAACAUGGCGGACGGGGAAGAGGAGCAGUUCUCCUUGUGUUGGAACAAUUACAACACGAAUUUAUCUACCGGUUUUCAUGAAUCGCUACUCAAAGGCGAUUUGGUCGAUGUGACACUGGCGGCCGAAGGGCACUUGGUGAAAGCGCAUCGCUUGGUCUUGUCAGUAUGCUCGCCAUACUUUCAAAAGAUGUUCACACAAAUGCCAGCCAAUCAGCACGCAUUUGUAUUCCUCAAAGACGUUCCACACGCUGCAUUGAAGGACUUGAUUCAAUUCAUGUACUGCGGCGAAGUGAAUGUGAAACAAGACGCCUUGCCAACAUUCAUCAGCACCGCUGAAGCGUUGCAAAUCAAAGGUCUCACAGAAAAUGGUGAUUCACAGUCGGUACCAGCGUCGCAAACGCCAUCCACACAGACGCACGUACCAAUCAAAGCUACCUCGACACCUGCCAACGUUGUACAAACACAACGGCCGCGUACCGUGCAACAGCGAAACGUGAAUCGAACGGCAUCGUACAAAUUGGACUCGGAGGAUAGUAGCGACGACAAAGCUACUACCGUCGUUGUUCAACAAACACAAAAACGUGUCUUACCCCGAGCUGGUGCACCGGUUCCAACAUCAGCCAAACGCCUGAAAACCAUAUCAGCCGAUCCGCUCGAACAACCGGAAACCCCAACACGAUCGACCGUUGGCCAAUCGAGCAGCGUGCAACAAGGUCCAUCCGCACAAAUCGUUCAAGUCACAUCGGCGGCUGAUGUUGGCAAAAACGUUGGCGAACCGGAAUUCAUUGAUCUACCCAUCGAAACUGUACCCACCAAGGCUGAACCAGACUAUGGCGACGAAGGCGAAAUGGAAGAGGCUGGCGACACGGAAGCGACUUAUGUUGAAGACGAAUCUUACGGUGAUAUGAAAUACGACGAAAGCUACUUCACGGAAAGCGAGGAAACGGGCAAAGGCGCAUCAGCAUCUGGUUUUGGCGAAUCAUACACGGAAGGCGAUACAUCGGCAAACGAGGCACAAGGACAAUCGAAGAAGCGACAGACAAGGCAAUCACAGUCAAAGAAAUCACAGGUGAAACCAUUGCGCGCUGAAGUUGAUUUGGUCAUGCAAAAUCCAUCGACGACAUUUGAGUAUGUUCCGACGCGAUUGGGAGCCGGAAAAAUUGCCAUCGAUAACCAGGUUUUCGACUAUCAUUUCAAAUCGCAACGCAUCAACUUCUGGAAAUGUUCACAAUCCAAUUGCCCAGCCAAGGCUAUUACACGAGCUACGGAGUUCGAUUUCGACUUCGAGUUCCAAGGCGCAAGAUUGAGUGCGAAACGUUUGAGUGUGUGAAGAUUGAGAGACGACCGUAUUACUAGAGGUUUUUUUGUGGAAAUCCUAGCGAACUAAUCGAAUUCAUCAUUUUGGAAUAUAGGUUUGGCACCGAAGCGAAGUCGUGGUCGCCCGCGGUUGAAUCCAUUUAAGAAAGGUGUGAAAAACUGUAGUAUAGAGGAGAUUUUGAAGCAACCAUCAUACCCAUUGGAAUUGGUCACGACGAAGGUGGGCGGUAUGAAGGCGGCAUUCAAAGAUUAUUGUUUCGAAUUCCACUACAAUCGAAGCGGCAAUAAAUUCUGGCGUUGUUUAUCACAUACGAGCGGAUGCUCUGCAAAGAUUAUGUCUAAAGGAAGCCUAAUAUAUGCAAUCAAUGUGGAACAUAACCACGAAAUUGAUCCAGUGGUUUUUGUAAACACCUCAGAGCUUGUGUCGACGAAAACCGUUCCAGCACCGGCAAAACCCGAACCCGAAACUAUUGCAGCUACCAUUAAGCAACCAGCCGAUAUCACCCUAAAUGCCGACUUGAAAGAGAAAAUGAAACAACGCUUCGCUAUUCUUGGCAAAAAAAUGCAAAAGCAAUAAAUUACAUCGAAAACAAUCGAUAUAGUUGAGGACUUACUUUUCUAUCGCUGACAUUUCAAAAUCGAGUGCCUUUUACUAACAUUUACUUACAUUCUUCUAAAUUGAGUCCACACAGUUAGCAUAUGUGUGUUUGCCUUAUGACUUUGUCGAACUUUAUUUCAAGCUUUAAUUUCAAUUUCUUUAAUCAACUACAGUUAUAAUUGAACUAACAAAUGAUUUCAUCUCAAACUUUUCCUAUUUAACGAUAUGCGGCUCAAUUUUGAGUUGACUUGAAUCAACAUAGCAUAAAGUAUAUGAGAGUGUUUUUCUCAAUGUUUCAAUCAUAUUCAUUUCUUUAGACCAUUUAUAUUAUUGUUUCUUCAAAAAAACUGAACUCAAUUCUAAGUUUUGCAUUUACUCUCAAUAAUUAUUCACUUAAUUUGAAACUGUAUUUACAAUAUGAAAUAAUUGAAUAGCUCUUUGAAUAUUAAUUCUGUCAGUUAAUAAAAUUCUCUCCAAAACAUAUGUGUGAAUCUCUUCAUUUGUUCAGAAAAUCUCGAAUACAACGACUGAAUAAUAAUGAAAGAUUUUUUUUCGUUUCUAGGGAGUGAUAAACCGACUGUGAAAUAUAUCAGUAGUUUGAAGGGUGGAUUGCAAUUGUGUGUGAAUGGAUUUCCCCAUACUCGACACCGGCUGCGUGGUCAAACGACGUACUGGCGCUGUGUACAAUUUCGGCCAUUAAGGUGUAUGGCUCGAGUGCGGACCAAAGAGAAUGGCAAUUUGGAAAUCGUUGAAAUGCAACAUAAUCACGGAAUACUCACUGAACGUCGCAAGAAGGGUGUUCUCAAAGCGAUGUACGCUCAGAAACGGAAACAGCAGCAAGCGAAACCAGUUCAAAAGCAAUGAAAAUGUCUAGUUUUAGGGAAUUUUUAAUAAAACUGAAUUGAAAUUAUUUGAAUAAAUCGUUUAUCAAAAUUGGAAAAUUAUGAAUUAUAAAUGUCAAAUUGGUCACAUCGAAAUGUUAGCCUGUUCAUUAUAGUUUUUCCUUUCCUUUAUCCUCAGCUGGAAUGGUACAAGCGAUUGAUGGCCACAUAGUUGAAUUUGCGUUGAGUGUUAGAGGCCGGCUGCAAUUGGUCAUUGACGAUUUCCCAUCUGGCCAAAAUGAAGUGCUCAAGAAGAAGACCUAUUACAGAUGUUGCCAGGCUAAAGGUAAUUCGAUCGAGUCAGAUCAGGAUCUUUGUAGACGUAAACAGCAGAAAAAAAAAUUAGCGCUCACAACACUCAAAACAAUAUUGGCAUUGAAGCUCCCACACACAUACAUACACAAUAUACAAUAUAUCCAAAAAUCCACCGUAUCCAUGGUACCGAAUGCAUGCGUGAGGCACACGGAUACGAAGGAGAACAAAAAAUCAAGUAACAUACAUGAAUAAGUUUUAAUAUUUUCUAUUUUUAUAUUCUGACCAAAAACAUACGCACACCAACCAACAACUGACAUGCAAACGAUCCUCCUCCCCCCCUCUAUCCAAAAGUUCUUGGGUGUCCAGCCCGAGUUCGAUUAGUACACGCCACAAAUCAAGUUGAAUUCAAAAAUCUUAUCCACAAUCAUCCCGCAAAUAUUCCACGUCGAUCCAAAGGUGAAGCUGAAAUUCUGAAGAAAAGUCUACGGAAAGCAGCUGUUUUCGCUCUUCAAGAGCCAUCAAAAGAAUUGUCGGACGAAGCAAGCGAUCAAGUGAAUUAACGAACAUUCUAGGAGAUUGUGAUAUACAAUGAAAUUUUUAGUUGCGAAUAAAUUGAUAUUAUCCAUUAUUCUCUCUCCUGUUUUCUUCAUUCCCUCAAUUGGGUUGUUUUCCAUUUUCGUUUUCAUACCAUAAAUGGAUAUUGGAAAUAUAUUUGUAUGAUUUCCUUUUUGUUCUUCUUCAUAAUAGUUUUAUUUUCUCUUCUAUCCUCAGUUGGUACGGUACGAGCGAUUGAUGGCCACAUAGUUGAAUUUGCUUUGAGCUUCAGAGGCCGGAUUCAAUUGAUUAUCGACGAUUUCCCGUUUUGCCAAAAUAAAGUGCAGGCGAAGAAGAUACAUUAUAUAUGUUGUCAGACCAAAGUUCUUGGGUGUCCAGCUGCAGCUCGAUUGGUGAACGCGACAAAUGACGUCGAAUUUACGAAUCUUAAACAUAAUCAUCCCGCAAUCAUUCCACGUCGAUCCCAUGGCGAAGCUAAAAGUCUGAUGAGUGGUUUGCGACAGAAGCAAAAACGAGUGAAAAAAGAGAUCCAAACAAUUGUCAGACGACUAUCAAAAGAAUCGUCGGACGACGCAAGCGACUUAGUGAAACAUGAACAUUCGGGCAGAUUGUGAUAUGUCAUUGCUUUUUAGUUGCAAAUAAAAUUGAUAUUAUUUAUUAUUCCCUCCGGUUUUCUUCAUUCUCCCAAUUGGGCUGCUUUCCCGUUUCUUAUUCAUACGAGAAUUAAAAUAUGUUCAUGGUCAAUGUUGGAUAAUCUCUUUGUUCUUCUACUUACAGUUAAAUAUGAUGAUCAACAAGGCAUCGGUGAAGAAUUGGAUGGACACGAAGGAAUGGUUGAUGGGCAUACAAUCGAGUAUGCUGUUAAUCAAAAAGGGUCAUUGUCUUUGCUCAUCGACGGUUAUCCAUUCAAUCGCGUACUAUCAGCUAAAAAGACCUACUACAAUUGCGUUCAUGCAUAUACAUUGGGAUGUCGAGCGAAGGCACGAGCUGGCAACGGAACAUUUAAAGUGGAAAUUAUUGAUGUUACACAUAAUCAUCCACAGGCUGUGCCGCGCAAAGGAUGGGGAGCAAGACGUGCACGUUUCGUGGCGCAAAAGAAACAAAAAAAGUUCAAGAAACCAACGAAAAGUGACAACAAAUCUGUUGAAUCUAUUAAAACUGAAUUUGAAUAAAAGCAAAUUGAUCAAAGCUGAUGGUUUUUGUUUUUACCUUGAUUUUUGUUGUCAAAAUCUUUUUACCAGAUUGAACAAUAUUUUCAAUCAUCUUUUUUUCUUUUACAUACAGGUCAAUAUUACCAUAGUGUGCAAGGCAACAACGAAGGAUCAGCUGAUGGGCACAUUAUCGAGUAUGUUAUUAAUCAGAAACGAAAUCUUCAGUUGGUCAUCAACGGAUUUCCAUUCAAUCGCACAACAAAAGCGAAAAAAAUCUACUACACUUGUGUUCAUGCGUACUCAUUUGGGUGUCGAGCGAGAGCACAAGCUGAAAACGGAACAAAUACCGUGGAAAUCAUUGACGUUACACACAAUCAUCCACAGAUGGUACCUCGAAAAAUAUCCGGAGAGAGUCGAGCACGUUUCAAAGCGCAACGAAAAGAGAAAAAAUUCAAAAAAUCUUAAAAAUAAUCGAAUGCUUUAAUUUCAAAUAAAAGAAUAUGUUUAUCGAACCAGUGCAUCUAGUUUAACAUUUCAGAUUCAUUUAUUGACAAAUUGCUGUCUUUUUGCAAUAUGUUUUUAAUUACCUAAGUGCAAAUUGAAAACAGGGGGAAGCGUUAUUGACUAUACUAUAAGUGUCCGUGGAAAAGUGCAAUUGGUUGUCGACGGAUUUCCAUACUUUCGUAACAAAAUCGAGGGUGAUCGUCAAACUUUCUUCUGUCUUCAAUACAAAGCACUCAAAUGUCCAGCCAAAGCGCGAAUACCAAAGAUGGACGAGCGGAAAUUGUUGAAUCGAAGCACAAUCAUCCAUCAAAUGUACCGUGCAGAAUGCAUGGUGAAGCACGGCGACUGAAAGAAGAACGUAUAAAACGGAAAACGGCACCGUCGUAGAAUUAAAACGGAUAUUUUAUAAAACGCCUAAAUGGGAUAGAAAAGACAAAAGAUAUGAAAAUAUUACGUAUACGAAUCCAAUAAAUGGAGAAAUUUUAAAAUGUCAUAGCGGAUCAUGUCAACUGUAAUUCAGUUCGUUUCAUAUUGAAAAUAUAAAAUAUCGUUGAGAAGAUUUUUGUUUAUAUCAGUUGACGCGAGUUCUUCGAGUUUUAUAUGAUGUUUGCGAGUGUGAGUGUUCGUGAAUCGCCCCAUGGUCUACUUAUUGUCUGCAUCAGAUAACACCGAUUGAAUAAAAGUUUUGAAUGAAAAUAAAGUUAUUUCGAAUAAUCAACUAUGUUUACUUUGAAGAAUAUUUGAAAAACAAAUUAUGAACAAAAUUCCAAAUCACUCGAUCCAAAUAAUGUUUUCUGUUUAUAUUUCCCAGGACUUAGCGCUGAGGGUCACAUCAUUGAAUAUAUCAUAAGUGCCAGAGGCAAAGUCCAGCUCGUGAUCGAUUCGUAUCCAUUUUUUCGCAACAAAUGUGAAGGCAACCGGCAGACCUACUAUUGUAAUCAAUAUAAGGCGCUUAGAUGUCCGGCCAGAGCUCGAACAUAUACCAAAGAGAAUCGCGUUGAAAUCGUUGAAGCGGAGCAUAAUCAUCCGGCAAUCAUACCACGACGAUCACAUGGAGAAGUAAUCAAGCUAAUCCGAGCUCGCGGUGGCAAGAAAACGAUACGUAAAAGUUUAAUGCGUCAAUGAAAACUAAAAAGUGUUGUCUCGAAGCUAUAUUUUUACUUCAGUUGAAACAAAAACGACAAAAAAUGAUUAUUAUCGAAAGAAAAUAAAGAAGUUUUGAAGUAAAACUUGUGUUGUCUUUGUCAUUAAUGCAUAAAACAUUUGAUUACCUUAAUAAUUUGGCUUUUUUGUGAUUUUAAUUUACAGGACUCUGCGUUGACGGCCAUACAAUUGAAUACAUCAUCAGCGUACGGGGCAAGAUUCAGUUGGUUAUCGAUGGGUACCAUUUUUAUCGGUAUUCUGUCAAAAAGAACAAAACCACCUACAAUUGUGUACAAAAUCGAAUACUUGGGUGUCCAGCCAAGGCUCGAGUCAUUGGUAAAAAUGAACACAUUGAACUCGUUGAUGUAUUACAUAAUCAUCCAGCCAUUCUACCGCGAAGAGCGAGUGGUGAGGCAAAGCGUCUGUUUGCAUUAGAGAAAACGAAGCAAAAGUCGAAGGAAAAAAGAUGAUUCAUUCAAUCAUAUCAUGUCUCUUUCAUCGGAGUAAAAACAUGAAAAUCUGUCAAUAAAUAAAAAUUCAAAUCAUACAACAUUGAUCAUUUUCAUCAAAUUUCUUUAUACCAUUUCUAAAACAGCAAAUUGAAGAUAUAUGAUGUGCUAAGAAUCAAACUAAUUAUGUCUCACUUUUCAAUCUAGGUGUAUCGAAACCAAUGGUCGGAGUGGUGCAAAUCAAUGGCAAACGACACGUGGUGCUUACUUUCAAUGGAUGGCGAUUUAUUCACAGCAAAUUGCAUUAUAACAGCAUGUACUGGCGUUGUGAACAUUUCAAAAGCCGGUGCUGCAAAGCCACGAUCAAAACCGAUCUCAAUAAUGCCAAUUUGAAGGUAUUGAAUGCUAAACAUAGCCACGGAUGAAUGAACAAAUUCGAACCGUACAGAUGAAUAUGUGACGAUGCUUUUCCACAUUAUAUUCCGUACACCAAACAGUACAAGAAAUGACGAACCAAAGCCAAACUCAGAAUAAAUUUUCUCAUUCCAUUUUAUUAGCAAUAUCAAAUGAAUAAAGUAAACUAAAAACCCCCAUGAACAA